UACGUAGGGUGCGAGCGUUAAUCGGAGUUACUGGGCGUAAAGCGUGCGCAGGCGGUUUUGUAAGCCAGAUGUGAAAUCCCCGGGCUUAACCUGGGAAUGGCAUUUGGGACUGCAAGGCUUGAGUGCGGCAGAGGAGACUGGAAUUCCUGGUGUAGCAGUGAAAUGCGUAGAUAUCAGGAGGAAUACCGAUGGCGAAGGCAGGUCUCUGGGCUGACACUGACGCUCAUGCACGAAAGCGUGGGGAUCAAACAGG
rnacentral:rRNA from 1 species